CACACGUCCUUCGGUUGUAGUACAUACGUCCGCCGGAUUACGGGCACUGUUUCGGGGUUUUUGCAGUAGGUGAUUUCUUAGCCUUCGUGAUUUUGGUACUGGUUUGAGUUGGUUUGAUUAAUCCUCGAUAUGGUUUUUCUGGUCGCGUAGUCAUUCACGGGAAGUUAUUUCAACGAUCCCCAUUAGGUUUUGAUACCCUGCUCGUCGUAUCCUCUGUCGUCUCUCCUUGUGUCUCUUGUGCGGGUUGUUUGUUUGUGUUGUAUGGGUGUACUACUUCAUAGUGAAUGUGGGUUUGUUGGUAACGUUUUUAGUUGUUGGAUUGAACUAGUUCAUGAUGAAUGUGGGUCUGUCUGUAACGUGUGUAGUUGCCAGAUUAAACUAGUUCAUGUUGAUUCUGAGUUUGAUUAUAUGUUUUGUAAAUAGAACUAGUUCAUAUUACUAGGUUAUUAGUUCAGCCUCGAUUUGGCAUGUAGUUCAAGUUAAUUGUAUGUACUAAUUCAGCC
rnacentral:lncRNA from 1 species